rnacentral:rRNA from 1 species
CAUGAAGUCGGAAUUGCUAGUAAUCGUAGGUCAGCAUACUACGGUGAAUACGUUCCCGGGCCUUGUACACACCGCCCGUCAAACCAUGAGAGUUGGCAACACCCGAAGUCGGUAGUCUAACCGCAAGGAGGACGCCGCCGAAGGUGGGGUUGAUGAUUAGGGUUAAGUCGUAACAAGGUACC